AACGAACGCUGGCGGCGCGUCUUAAGCAUGCAAGUCGAACGGUAAGGGAGAGCUUGCUCUCCCCUAGAGUGGCGGACUGGUGAGUAACGCAUGGGUGACCUGCCCUGAAGAUGGGGAUAGCUAGUAGAAAUAUUAGAUAAUACCGAAUGUGCUCAUUUACAUAAAGGUAAAUGAGGAAAGGAGCUACGGCUCCGCUUCAGGAUGGGCCCGCGUCCCAUUAGCUGGUUGGUGAGGUAAAGGCCCACCAAGGCAACGAUGGGUAUCCGGCCUGAGAGGGUGAACGGACACAUUGGGACUGAGAUACGGCCCAAACUCCUACGGGAGGCAGCAGCUAAGAAUCUUCCGCAAUGGACGAAAGUCUGACGGAGCGACGCCGUGUGAAUGAAGAAGGCCGAAAGGUUGUAAAAUUCUUUUGCAGAUGAAGAAUAAGAAGAAGAGGGAAUGCUUCUUUGAUGACGGUAGUCAUGCGAAUAAGCCCCGCUAAUUAC
rnacentral:rRNA from 1 species